rnacentral:rRNA from 1 species
UUCUACCACCAUACCACCCUGAACAUACCUGAUCUCAGAAGCUAAGCAGGGUAGAGCCUGGUUAGUAUUUGAAUGGGAGACCCUCUGGGAAUACCAGGUGCUGUAGGCU